rnacentral:rRNA from 1 species
CCUACGGGUGGCAGCAGUGGGGAAUAUUGCGCAAUGGGCGAAAGCCUGACGCAGCGACGCCGCGUGAGGGAUGAAGGUCUUCGGAUCGUAAACCUCUGUCAGCAGGGAAGAACGGGCACGGUGCUAAGCAGCAGGGAAUGGACGGUACCGGCAAAGGAAGCACCGGCUAACUCCGUGCCAGCAGCCGCGGUAAUACGGAGGGUGCGAGCGUUAAGCGGAAUUACUGGGCGUAACGCGCGCGUAGGCGGCAUGUCAAGUCAAGGGUGAAAUCCCCGCGCUCAACGUGGGAACUGCCUUUGAAACUGGCCACCUGGAGUGUGUGAGAGGUUAGUGGAAUUCCAGGUGUAGCCGUGAAAUCCGUAGAUAUCUGGAGGAACAUCAGUGGCGAAGGCGACUUUCUGGCCCAUAACUGCCGCUGAGGCGCGAACGCGUGGGUAGCAAACAGGAUUAGAUACCCCAGUAGUC